AGAAUGCUCCGCCGACGAUCCAUUGUAUUGCCGCUGCCGAGAUUUGGAGCUCUUUUGACGAAUCAGAAGAAGAGGCAGAAGCAACUACAACAAAAAAGAAUGUAAAUCUAUGAAAAAAAAAAGAAUGUAAAUCUAUGGCCAUGGAAUAAAGAUUUGGUAUUGUGAUUAAAAUAUUAUGUAAUGGCUGCUUUUUCCAUUAUCUAGCCACUCGAAUUUGUUGGAAAAGACCACUGUAGUUUAAUAUGUAUAUUAUCUGAAACGAAAAGAGCUUUAUUUAUUUUUAAUAUUCCAACUUUUAAAACUA